CCCCUCUCAAGGUUGCACCUGGAGAGUUUCCAAUACUCUACCAGUCUCAACUAUGGGAGGGAGAGUCAAGCAGAAGCAUACCCGUUCCAUUCCUAUCUUGGCCAAUGACGAGCGAAUGGAAGUCAAUCUGCUACAAGU